rnacentral:rRNA from 1 species
UGGCUCAGAUUGAACGCUGGCGGCAGGCCUAACACAUGCAAGUCGGGCGGUAACACGGGGAGCUUGCUCCUGGGUGACGAGCGGCGGACGGGUGAGUAAUGUCUGGGAAACUGCCUGAUGGAGGGGGAUAACUACUGGAAACGGUAGCUAAUACCGCAUAAUGUCGCAAGACCAAAGAGGGGGACCUUCGGGCCUCUUGCCAUCAGAUGUGCCCAGAUGGGAUUAGCUAGUAGGUGGGGUAACGGCUCACCUAGGCGACGAUCCCUAGCUGGUCUGAGAGGAUGACCAGCCACACUGGAACUGAGACACGGUCCAGACUCCUACGGGAGGCAGCAGUGGGGUAUAUUGCACAAUGGGCGCAAGCCUGAUGCAGCCAUGCCGCGUGUAUGAAGAAGGCCUUCGGGUUGUAAACUGCUUUUGUACGGAACGAAAAAGUUCUCUCUAAUACAGGGGGCGAAUGACGGUACCGUAAGAAUAAGCACCGGCUAACUACGUGCCAGCAGCCGCGGUAAUACGUAGGGUGCGAGCGUUAAUCGGAAUUACUGGGCGUAAAGCGUGCGCAGGCGGUUAUAUAAGACAGAUGUGAAAUCCCCGGGCUCAACCUGGGAACUGCAUUAGUGACUGUAUAGCUAGAGUGCGGCAGAGGGGGAUGGAAUUCCGCGUGUAGCAGUGAAAUGCGUAGAUAUGCGGAGGAACACCGAUGGCGAAGGCAAUCCCCUGGGCCUGCACUGACGCUCAUGCACGAAAGCGUGGGGAGCAAACAGGAUUAGAUACCCUGGUAGUCCACGCCCUAAACGAUGUCAACUGGUUGUUGGGUCUUCACUGACUCAGUAACGAAGCUAACGCGUGAAGUUGACCGCCUGGGGAGUACGGCCGCAAGGUUAAAACUCAAAGGAAUUGACGG